GACGAACGCUGGCGGCGUGCCUAAUACAUGCAAGUAGAACGCUGAAGAGAGGAGCUUGCUCUUCUUGGAUGAGUUGCGAACGGGUGAGUAACGCGUAGGUAACCUGCCUGGUAGCGGGGGAUAACUAUUGGAAACGAUAGCUAAUACCGCAUAAAAUUGAUUAUUGCAUGAUAAUUAAUUGAAAGAUGCAAUUGCAUCACUACCAGAUGGACCUGCGUUGUAUUAGCUAGUUGGUGAGGUAACGGCUCACCAAGGCGACGAUACAUAGCCGACCUGAGAGGGUGAUCGGCCACACUGGGACUGAGACACGGCCCAGACUCCUACGGGAGGCAGCAGUAGGGAAUCUUCGGCAAUGGGGGGAACCCUGACCGAGCAACGCCGCGUGAGUGAAGAAGGUUUUCGGAUCGUAAAGCUCUGUUGUAAGAGAAGAACGGGUGUGAGAGUGGAAAGUUCACACUGUGACGGUAUCUUACCAGAAAGGGACGGCUAACUACGUGCCAGCAGCCGCGGUAAUACGUAGGUCCCGAGCGUUGUCCGGAUUUAUUGGGCGUAAAGCGAGCGCAGGCGGUUAGAUAAGUCUGAAGUUAAAGGCUGUGGCUUAACCAUAGUAUGCUUUGGAAACUGUUUAACUUGAGUGCAGAAGGGGAGAGUGGAAUUCCAUGUGUAGCGGUGAAAUGCGUAGAUAUAUGGAGGAACACCGGUGGCGAAAGCGGCUCUCUGGUCUGUAACUGACGCUGAGGCUCGAAAGCGUGGGGAGCAAACAGGAUUAGAUACCCUGGUAGUCCACGCCGUAAACGAUGAGUGCUAGGUGUUAGGCCCUUUCCGGGGCUUAGUGCCGCAGCUAACGCAUUAAGCACUCCGCCUGGGGAGUACGACCGCAAGGUUGAAACUCAAAGGAAUUGACGGGGGCCCGCACAAGCGGUGGAGCAUGUGGUUUAAUUCGAAGCAACGCGAAGAACCUUACCAGGUCUUGACAUCCCUCUGAUCGCUCUAGAGAUAGAGUUUUCCUUCGGGACAGAGGUGACAGGUGGUGCAUGGUUGUCGUCAGCUCGUGUCGUGAGAUGUUGGGUCAAGUCCCGCAACGAGCGCAACCCCUAUUGUUAGUUGCCAUCAUUCAGUUGGGCACUCUAGCGAGACUGCCGGUAAUAAACCGGAGGAAGGUGGGGAUGACGUCAAAUCAUCAUGCCCCUUAUGACCUGGGCUACACACGUGCUACAAUGGCUGGUACAACGAGUCGCAAGCCGGUGACGGCAAGCUAAUCUCUGAAAGCCAGUCUCAGUUCGGAUUGUAGGCUGCAACUCGCCUACAUGAAGUCGGAAUCGCUAGUAAUCGCGGAUCAGCACGCCGCGGUGAAUACGUUCCCGGGCCU
rnacentral:rRNA from 1 species